rnacentral:rRNA from 1 species
GUCGAACGGCAGCGCGGGCUUCGGCCUGGCGGCGAGUGGCGAACGGGUGAGUAAUACAUCGGAACGUGCCCUGUUGUGGGGGAUAACUAGUCGAAAGAUUAGCUAAUACCGCAUACGACCUGAGGGUGAAAGCGGGGGACCGCAAGGCCUCGCGCAAUAGGAGCGGCCGAUGUCUGAUUAGCUAGUUGGUGGGGUAAAGGCCUACCAAGGCGACGACCAGUAGCUGGUCUGAGAGGACGAUCAGCCACACUGGGACUGAGACACGGCCCAGACUCCUACGGGAGGCAGCAGUGGGGAAUUUUGGACAAUGGGGGCAACCCUGAUCCAGCAAUGCCGCGUGUGUGAAGAAGGCCUUCGGGUUGUAAAGCACUUUUGUCCGGAAAGAAAUCGCGCUGGCUAAUACCUGGCGUGGAUGACGGUACCGGAAGAAUAAGCACCGGCUAACUACGUGCCAGCAGCCGCGGUAAUACGUAGGGUGCGAGCGUUAAUCGGAAUUACUGGGCGUAAAGCGUGCGCAGGCGGUUUUGUAAGACAGGCGUGAAAUCCCCGAGCUCAACUUGGGAAUGGCGCUUGUGACUGCAAGGCUAGAGUAUGUCAGAGGGGGGUAGAAUUCCACGUGUAGCAGUGAAAUGC